rnacentral:rRNA from 1 species
ACGGGAGGCAGCAGUGGGGAAUAUUGCACAAUGGGCGAAAGCCUGAUGCAGCGACGCCGCGUGAGUGAAGAAGUUAUUCGUAAUGUAAAGCUCUAUCAGCAGGGAAGAAAAUGACGGUACCUGACUAAGAAGCCCCGGCUAACUACGUGCCAGCAGCCGCGGUAAUACGUAGGGGGCAAGCGUUAUCCGGAUUUACUGGGUGUAAAGGGAGCGUAGACGGCAAAGCAAGUCUGAAGUGAAAUCCCGGGGCUCAACCCUGGAACUGCUUUGGAAACUGUUUAGCUAGAGUGCAGGAGAGGUAAGUGGAAUUCCUAGUGUAGCGGUGAAAUGCGUAGAUAUUAGGAGGAACACCAGUGGCGAAGGCGGCUUACUGGACUGUAACUGACGUUGAGGCUCGAAAGCGUGGGGAGCAAACAGGAUUAGAUACCCUGGUA